GACGAACGCUGGCGGCGUGCUUAACACAUGCGAGUCGAACGGAAAGGCCCUGCUUUUGUGGGGUGCUCGAGUGGCGAACGGGUGAGUAACACGUGAGUAACCUGCCCUUGACCUUGGGAUAACUUCAGGAAACUGGGGCUAAUACCGGAUAGGAGCUCCUGCUGCAUGGUGGGGGUUGGAAAGUUUCGGCGGUUGGGGAUGUACUCGCGGCUUAUCAGCUUGUUGGUGGGGUAGUGGCUUACCAAGGCUUUGACGGGUAGCCGGCCUGAGAGGGUGACCGGCCACAUUGGGACUGAGAUACGGCCCAGUCUACUCCGGGAGGCAGCAGUGGGAAAUAUUGCACAAUGGGCGGAAGCCUGAUGUAGCAACGCCGCGUGCGGGAUGACGGCCUUCGGGUUGUAAACCGCUUUCGCCUGUGACGAAGCGUGAGUGACGGUAAUGGGUAAAGAAGCACCGGCUAACUACGUG
rnacentral:rRNA from 1 species